rnacentral:lncRNA from 1 species
CACGACCAGACAUCAACGGACGAAUGGGAAGAGAGAAACCACGACCAGACGUCAACAGACGAAUGGGAAGAAAGAAACCACGACCAGACAUCAACGGAUGAAUGGGAAGAGAAAAACUUGAUGUUUACCGACAUCGAAAGAUGAUGUCUACUGACACCAAAAGAAAGGACCCACGCGGGGAUCAACACGACACCCACCGGUAUCG